rnacentral:lncRNA from 1 species
CAAUCAUGACAUCCGUGCUUCCUUGCCUUUAUAAAUAGGGCCAACAAGAUCCCAUGAAAAUAAGCUUCAAAAAAGCAGAGAGGCUUUGAAAUCAAUCUUCAUCCAUAAUUCUACUUCUCUUUUUUGCAGAUCCAUAGGCCUAGCGAAGGCCGAAGUAAGGGUCGAGAUCAUGAUAAAUAAUAGAGCCAAAGUGAAAGCCAAGACCAGUGUUGAGGUUAGGAGCCCAAAGAUAGAGCACCCAAAUGCCA